rnacentral:rRNA from 1 species
UAGGGAAUCUUCGGCAAUGGGGGCAACCCUGACCGAGCAACGCCGCGUGAGUGAAGAAGGUUUUCGGAUCGUAAAGCUCUGUUGUAAGUCAAGAACGGGUGUGAGAGUGGAAAGUUCACACUGUGACGGUAGCUUACCAGAAAGGGACGGCUAACUACGUGCCAGCAGCCGCGGUAAUACGUAGGUCCCGAGCGUUGUCCGGAUUUAUUGGGCGUAAAGCGAGCGCAGGCGGUUUGAUAAGUCUGAAGUUAAAGGCUGUGGCUCAACCAUAGUUCGCUUUGGAAACUGUCAAACUUGAGUGCAGAAGGGGAGAGUGGAAUUCCAUGUGUAGCGGUGAAAUGCGUAGAUAUAUGGAGGAACACCGGUGGCGAAAGCGGCUCUCUGGUCUGUAACUGACGCUGAGGCUCGAAAGCGUGGGGAGCGAACAGGAUUAGAUACCCUGGUAGUCCACGCCGUAAACGAUGAGUGCUAGGUGUUGGAUCCUUUCCGGGAUUCAGUGCCGCAGCUAACGCAUUAAGCACUCCGCCUGGGGAGU